GUCCACGCCGUAAACUAUGGAUACUAGCUGUUCGUAGCAAUCUGAGUGGCUAAGCGAAAGUGAUAAGUAUCCCACCUGGGGAGUACGUUCGCAAGAAUGAAACUCAAAGGAAUUGACGGGGGCCCGCACAAGCGGUGGAGCAUGUGGUUUAAUUCGAUGAUACGCGAGGAACCUUACCAAGGCUUAAAUGUAGAUUGACAGGACUGGAAACAGUUUUUUCUUCGGACAAUUUACAAGGUGCUGCAUGGUUGUCGU
rnacentral:rRNA from 1 species